ensembl:lncRNA
UUUCACUUGGAAGCAGUGUUUAAUAUUUAUGAGGAUGACAGCCUUGUACAAACACAGAACUAUAACCUGGCCCUCGAGUGAUUCCAUAAAAAGUAUCUGCCAGCCAGAACAAAAUACAAAAACUAAAGCUUUUGUUCUGGAAAGUCUGGUUGCUGAAUUUAGUGAUGUGCCACCGACGCUCUUCAGCAGCAGUGGCAGUGGAGAAAUGGGAAGACUCCUGGCAACUUUAACAGGCUCUGGACCAGCCUGGAUGCAUCUGAAUCAUCACAGAAUUGGAUAAACUCAUCAUCCUUAGCAAUUCAGAAAGAAUGGCCAAAAAUUCAACUGGCUGCAGCCCUGUUCAGAUCCAUUGCAUCAAAGGCACAAAAUAUCCCCUGGGCCUCACCCACAGGCUGCUCAGAUCCCCACUGGCCAGUAACAUUUUUAAUGGGGGAGGAGGCUGCACGGCAGGGUUUAGACGUCUGAAAAUAGCAUAUCUAUUCUACACUAUCUGCUUAGCUUCUGCAGCCAAUGUCAAGAGCCGAGCAGCCCCAGAAG